GCUGUGCCUUAGUCCCAGCUACUCAGGAGGCUGAGGCUGGAGGAUUGCUUGAGCCCAGGAGUUCUGGGUUACAGUGUGCUGUGCUGAUGGGAUGUUUGCACUAAGUGCAGCAUCAAUGUGGUGACCUCCUGGGAACAGGAGACUCCCAGGUUGCCUAAGGAGGAGUGACCUGGCCCAGGUCAGAAACAGAGCAGGUCAAAACUCCCUUGCUGAUCAGUAGUGGGAUCGCACCUUUGAACAGCCACUGCACUCCAGCCUGGGCAACAUAGUGAGACCCUGCCUUUG
rfam:Gorilla gorilla gorilla genomic chromosome, chr17, whole genome shotgun sequence